rnacentral:rRNA from 1 species
AUGCAGAGGAAUGGGGUGAUGGAAUGCAGCGUCUGCCACUCCAAGGUCGUGGCGGGGACCCCCAGGAGCAUAUCAAGGGCAUACGACAAGCACAAGAGCAAGAUAUCGUCCAAACAGCGUGUGCUCACCUUCCUUCUUGUGUCUGGGGACUGCGUCUUGGUCGGCCUUCAGCCUAUCCUAGUCUUUAUGUGCAAGGUUGAUGGGAAAUUUCAGUUCAGUCCCAUCAGUGUUAACUUUUUGACGGAAGUUACAAAGGUUUUCUUUGCUAUGAUAAUGCUAAUAAUUGAGUCUAGAAAACAGAAGGUUGGGGAGAAGUCACUUCUCUCAGUUUCGACCUUUGUACAGGCAGCCCGUAACAAUGUACUCUUAGCUAUUCCUGCUCUACUAUAUGCCAUCAACAACUACUUAAAGUUUAUCAUGCAGUUAUACUUCAACCCCUCGACUGUGAAGAUGCUAAGCAACCUGAAGGUACUCGUCAUAGCUGUACUCCUAAAGUUUAUAAUGCGAAGGAAAUUCUCUAUAAUUCAGUGGGAAGCCCUUGGCCUGCUGCUUAUUGGAAUCAGCGUGAAUCAACUACGCUCAAUGCCUGAGGGCACCAAAACUUUUGGUCUUCCGGUCACCGCAAUUGCAUACAUAUACACACUAAUAUUUGUUACUGUCCCAUCAUUUGCCUCUGUCUACAACGAGUAUGCAUUAAAAAGUCAGUUCGACACAAACAUCUAUCUUCAGAAUGUGUUUCUGUAUGGUUAUGGUGCAAUUUUCAAUCUCCUUGGAAUCCUAGGGACCGUCAUAGUUCAAGGGCCAGAGAGUUUUGAUAUCCUUCGAGGGCAUUCAAGGGCCACUUUUUUCCUCAUUUGUAACAAUGCUGCGCAAGGAAUUCUCUCUUCAUUCUUCUUUAAGUAUGCAGACACAAUUUUGAAGAAGUACUCAUCAACAGUGGCCACAAUUUUUACUGGGCUAGCAUCUGCUGCAUUUUUGGGACAUACCCUGACUAUUAACUUUCUAUUAGGCAUCUCAAUAGUGUUUAUCUCAAUGCAUCAGUUUUUCUCGCCACUAGCCAAAGUCAAAGAUGACAAACCAGCUGGAACUUUAGAGUUGGGAGAUGCACAGAAACAUAGGUCAUCCGAUUCUUCUUUUGUAAAUAUGACUGCUGGUGCUGCUGAUGAUGCAAGCCACAUUAGCGAUGAUAGAAAACCAUUGUUGCCAAUCUAA